rnacentral:rRNA from 1 species
AGUGAACGCUGGCGGUAGACCUAACACAUGCAAGUCGAACGGCAGCACAGUAAGAGCUUGCUCUUACGGGUGGCGAGUGGCGGACGGGAGAGGAAUACAUCGGAAUCUACUUUUUCGUGGGGGAUAACGUAGGGAAACUUACGCUAAUACCGCAUACGACCUACGGGUGAAAGCAGGGGAUCUUCGGACCUUGCGCGAUUGAAUGCGCCGAUGUCGGAUUAGCUAGUUGGCGGGGUAAAGGCCCACCAAGGCGACGAUCCGUAGCUGGUCUGAGAGGAUGAUCAGCCACACUGGAACGGGGACACGGUCCAGACGCCUACGGGAGGCAGCAGUGGGGAAUAUUGGACAAUGGGCGCAAACCUGAUCCAGCCAUACCGCGUGGGUGAAGAAGGCCUUCGGGGUGUAAAGCCCUUUUGUUGGGAAAGAAAAGCAGCAGGUUAAUACCCCGCUGUUCUGACGGUACCCAAAGAAUAAGCACCGGCUAACUUCGUG